rnacentral:rRNA from 1 species
UUUUACUAUAUAACAUGUAGUUAAAUAUUCCCGAAGCUAGAAGAGCUAAUAUCAGCCAGAUCUUAGUUUAUAUAAAUAACUUCUGUAGCACUAGAAGAUAAAUAGUUAAUAUUAGGGGUGAAACGCUUCCAAUUCUAUAGAUAUCUGGAUAAAACUUAAAUACAUUUAGUGUAUAUUAAAAAUUUAUAGGGUGUUAAGAUCCUAUAAUUAGAAAUUCGGCUUUCCAAUGUCUUUUUUUUCUAAUAACCUUAAAUAAAAAUGAAUCAAAAAAUAAUUAAUCAACUAAUACAAUUCUUGCUUUAAGUUUUAAUUUUGCCUAAUACUUAGCGAAAAAUAUAAUGUAAAAAUUAGUAUUUUAUUUAUAAUGUCAGUAAGGAACUCGACAAAUAAUUCCUUCGUCUGUUUAUCAAAAACAUAGCCACAAGUAAUAAAUAUGUGGUUGUACCUGCCCGGUGAAUUUUUAACGGCCGCAGUACUUUGACUGUGCAAAGGUAGCAUAAUAAUUUGGCUUUUAAUUGGGGUCUAGAAUAAAAGGGGGAACGGGGGAAAAUUGUCUCAUGCCAUCUUAAAUUAAUUUACUUAGUAAGUGAAAAUUCUUACACAUAAAUAAAAGACGAGAAGACCCUUAGAAUUUUAAGAAGAAACCAAUAAAAUUGGCAACACUUUUUGUUGGGGCAACAAAAAUUCAAAUAUAAUUAUUUUACCAAUAUUAUAUUAUACACCGAUUAUAUAUUUCUAAAUAAAUUACCUAAGGGAUAACAGCAUAAUCUUUUAAAGGUUUGUGACCUCGAUGUUGGACUAGGAACUAUAUAUACUAACAGUAUAUGUAGUAUGUUCUGUUCGAACAAUUAUCUCCUACAUGAUCUGAGUUCAGACCGG